AUAUUGGACAAUGGGCGAAAGCCUGAUCCAGCCAUGCCGCGUGUGUGAAGAAGGACUUCGGAUUGUAAAGCACUUUAAGUUGGGAGGACGGGCAGUAAGUUAAUACCUUGCUGUUUUGACGUUACGGACAGAAUAAGCACCGGCUACAUUCGUGCCGGCAGCCGCGGCACUAAGGAGGGUGCAAGCGUUAAUCGGAAUUACUGGGCGCAAAGCGCGCGUAGGUGGUUUGUUAAAUUGGAAGUGAAAGCCCCGGGCUCAACCUGGGAACUGCAUUGAAAACUGGCAAGCUAGAGUAUGGCAGAGGGUGGUGGAAUGUCCUGUGUAGCGGUGAAAUGCGUAGAUAUAGGAAGGAACACCAGUGGCGAAGGCGACCACCUGGGCUAAUACUGACACUGAGGUGCGAAAGCGUGGGGAGCAAACA
rnacentral:rRNA from 1 species